rnacentral:rRNA from 1 species
AGCAUAUCAAUAAGCGGAGGAAAAGAAACUAACAAGGAUUCCCUUAGUAACUGCGAGUGAAGCGGGAAAAGCUCAAAUUUAAAAUCUGACAUGCCAAUGGCUGUCCGAGUUGUAGUCUGGAGAAGUGCUUUCCGUGCUGGACCAUGUGUAAGUCCCUUGGAAUAGGGCGUCAUAGAGGGUGAGAAUCCCGUCUUUAACAUGGAUUACCAGUGCUUUGUGAUGUGCUCUCAACGAGUCGAGUUGUUUGGGAAUGCAGCUCAAAAUGGGUGGUAAAUUCCAUCUAAAGCUAAAUAUAGGCGAGAGACCGAUAGCGAACAAGUACCGUGAGGGAAAGAUGAAAAGCACUUUGGAAAGAGAGUUAAACAGUACGUGAAAUUGCUGAAAGGGAAACACUUGAAGUCAGUCUUAUCUCUCAGGACUCAGCCUUGCAUUUUUUGCAUGGUGCAUUUUCUGAUUGAUAGGCCAGCAUCAAUUUUAAUUGUUGGAGAAAUUUAGGGGGAAGGUAGCACCUUUUAGGUGUGUUAUAGCCCUCUAUUGUAUGCAACAGUUAGGAUUGAGGACCGCAGCACAUCAAAUGUGUUUUAGGAUGCUGGCAUAAUGGCUUUAAGUGACCCGUCUUGAAACACGGACCAAGGAGUCUAACAUGCCUGCGAGUGUUUGAGUGGAAAACUCAAGUGCAUAAUGAAAGUGAUAGUUGAGACCUAUUGAGGGCAUUGACGCCUGGACUUGAUCUACGGAGACGGCUCCAUGGUAGAGCAUGCAUGUUGGGACCCGAAAGAUGGUGAACUAUGCCUGAAUAGGGUGAAGCCAGAGGAAACUCUGGUGGAGGCUCGUAGCGAUUCUGACGUGCAAAUCGAUCGUCAAAUUUGGGUAUAGGGGCGAAAGACUAAUCGAACCAUCUAGUAGCUGGUUCCU